CUACGGGUUGCUGCAGUCGAGAAUAGUCUACAAUGGACGAAAGUCUGAUAGUGCGACGCCGCGUGGAUGAAGAAGCAUUUCGGUGUGUAAAGUCCUUUUCUGUGUGAGCAAUGUUUUCCAGGUUAACAGCUUGGAGAAAGCGAUAUUAACACAGGAAUAAGCUCCGGCUAACUCCGCGCCAGCAGCCGCGGUAACACGGGGGGAGCAAGCGUUGUCCGGAAUUACUAGGCGUAAAGGGUAAGUAGGCGGAAUUGUAAGUCAGAUGUUAAAGGCACCGGCUCAACCGGUGUAUGGCAUUUGAUACUGUAAUUCUAGAGUAAGGUGGGGGAAGACGGAAUUCCUGGUGUAGCGGUGGAAUGCGCAGAUAUCAGGAGGAACACCAGAGGCGCAGGCGGUCUUCUAUACCAUUACUGACGCUCAAUUACGAAGGUGUGGGUAUCAAACAGGAUUAGAUACCCCGGUAGUC
rnacentral:rRNA from 1 species